UACAGAGGGCUCAAGCGUUGUUCGGAUUCAUUGGGCGUAAAGGGCGUGUAGGUGGCGCCGUAAGUCGGGUGUGAAAUUUCGGAGCUUAACUCCGAAACUGCAUUCGAUACUGCGGUGCUUGAGGACUGGAGAGGAGACUGGAAUUCAUGGUGUAGCAGUGAAAUGCGUAGAGAUCAUGAGGAAGACCAGUGGCGAAGGCGGGUCUCUGGACAGUUCCUGACACUGAGGCACGAAGGCCAGGGGAGCAAACGGG
rnacentral:rRNA from 1 species